AGGGUUUGAUUAUGGCUCAGGAUGAACGCUGGCGGCGUGCCUAACACAUGCAAGUCGAGCGAGAAAUCUUGGACUGAAACUUCGGUCGAAGGAAGAGAUGGAAAGCGGCGGACGGGUGAGUAACGCGUAGGCAACCUGCCCUUUGCAGAGGGAUAGCCAUUGGAAACGAUGAUUAAAACCUCAUAACACCGCACCUUCACAUGGAGGAGCGGCCAAAGAUUUAUCGGCAAAGGAUGGGCCUGCGUCUGAUUAGCUGGUUGGUGGGGUAACGGCCUACCAAGGCGACGAUCAGUAGCCGACCUGAGAGGGUGAUCGGCCACAUUGGAACUGAGACACGGUCCAA
rnacentral:rRNA from 1 species